rnacentral:rRNA from 1 species
UACAGAGGAUGCAAGCGUUAUCCGGAAUGAUUGGGCGUAAAGCGUCUGUAGGUGGCUUUUUAAGUCCGCCGUCAAAUCCCAGGGCUCAACUCUGGACAGGCGGUGGAAACUACCAAGCUGGAGUACGGUAGGGGCAGAGGGAAUUUCCGGUGGAGCGGUGAAAUGCGUAGAGAUCGGAAAGAACACCAACGGCGAAGGCGGCUCUCUGGUCUGUAACUGACGCUGAGGCGCGAAAGCGUGGGGAGCAAACAGG